AUUGAACGCUGGCGGCAGGCCUAACACAUGCAAGUCGGGCGAGCGGCGGACGGGUGAGUAAUGUAUGGGGAUCUGCCUGAUGGAGGGGGAUAACUACUGGAAACGGUAGCUAAUACCGCAUACCAUCAGAUGAACCCAUAUGGGAUUAGCUUGUAGGUGAGGUAACGGCUCACCUGGGCGACGAUCCCUAGCUGGUCUGAGAGGAUGAUAAGCCAAACGGGGACUGAGCAACGGCCCAGCUCCCAACGGGAGGCAGCAGGGGGGAUAUUUCCACAAUGGGGGCAAGCCGGAUGCAGCCAGGCCGGGUGAAUGAGGAAGGCCUUCGGGUUGAAAAGUCCUUUGAUUCGGGAGACGUAACCGACAGAAGAAGAACCGGCAAAUCCCGUGCCAGCAGCCGCGUAAUAC
rnacentral:rRNA from 1 species